AAACUGUCAUUUUAAUCAGAGUAAAAUAAAUAAAAUAAUAAAGCUAACAGGUAGAAAUUUCAGAAGAUUGGGAAAGGCAAGAACAACAACAGACAUCCCUCUGCUCUUGUGUAAUUCAUAGAAUUUCGUAAUAUAUGUUCUUCCACAUUCCCAAUCCAUCAAUAAUAAUAAUAAUCAAGCUCCAUUUCUUACAUCUUCAUCCAUUCAUCUUCUCCACAGAUGUGUUAUUUCAAAAACACGAUUAAAUUCAUCAUCAGGUGCUUGUUAACAACGAUCGGUAGCGAUUAGAAGCGAUAAGGCUGAGGAUUCGGAGUCCCUUGGCGGAAAGAUGAGGUUUUGUGGUGAACUAGUGAUUAAAUUCGCAAAGGUUUUAAGUUUAUAGCAACGAUCUUUUGAAGAAUAUUACACUUCUCAAUUACAUCAAAUGGACUAUUAUAAAUCGCGAAGAAACACAGACACUGUUGUUGAUAUUGUGAGUAGUGAAAGCGAAUAUGAAGAGGACGGAAGAAACGAGACCGUGACGGCUAACAAACGAGCAAAAACCGUGGUUCGAUAUGUAGGUGAAACAUUUAGUUUCGAAGCAUCAGAAGACGACGGUGAAUGCAGCAGUAGUUCUUACUUAAUUUCUCUAAAAUCAAGUGAUGAUGGUUAUGAAGAUAUGGAAUCACUAAAACACACCAAAUUUGAUAAAAACGGUCAACAGACACAACUGUUAGAGAAAACACAGUUGAAAGAAAAGCGCAAGAUUUCAAAUUCAAAAAAGGCUCCAAAGCCACCUAGACCACGUAAGGGCCUUUCACUAGACGCAGCUGACUUGCAAUUGGUUAAGGAGAUUGCGGAACAGACCAUGAAAAAGCGAGCUAGGGUUGAACGGUUGAAAUCUUUGAAGAAAAGACGAGCUGUUAAAGCUGCUUCACCACCUUCAACAUCGUCGAAUAUUAGCAUCUUUGCUAUGGCCAUUACAGUUCUUUUUUUCAUCGUCAUCAUUUUUCAAGGUUUCGGUUCAGGUCACAGUUCAACUUUUACUUUCGAAAAUUCUCCAAAGUCAGCAGGAGAACCAUCAGACGGUCUGAUCUCCGUCCAGCUUGGGAAUGUCCCCUCGGAAACCAAUGAUGUUCAACAAGUUGCCAAUCCUCCCAAGAAAUUCGUGCAACGGAAGAUAUAUCAUACCACUUCCAAGUUUGUGGAACGGCAAUCUGAUCGACUUUAGGAGCUUAGUUAGUUAAACACGUGGCUACAGAAGUGCGUCAUCUUUCUGAUUUUCAGAACACCAGCGUUGUUGUUGAUUGAUUCUGAAGUUUGACACUUUUUUAGAUAAAGGAAAACUGAUUAUGUGGCACAUUUUUGUCAUAAAUUUUGCAAAUCGCAACAAUUUAACCCAUAUUACAAUCUGGUUAGAGGCUGCAAUGUUUGCAAGGU